rnacentral:misc_RNA from 1 species
CUACCUAACACUGUUGCUUCGGCGGGGAGCGCCCCUCGGGGAGAGAGCCGCCGGGGACCACCGAACUUCAUGCCUGAGAGUAAUGCAGUCUGAGCCUGAAUAAUAUAAUCAGUCAAAACUUUCAACAAUGGAUCUCUUGGUUCCGGCAUCGAUGAAGAACACAGCGAACUGCGAUAAGUAAUGUGAAUUGCAGAAUUCAGUGAAUCAUCGAGUCUUUGAACGCACAUUGCGCCCCCUGGCAUUCCGGGGGGCAUGCCUGUCCGAGCGUCAUUGCUCCCCAUCAANCCCGGCUUGUGUGUUGGGUCGUCGUCCCCCCUUCCGGGGGGGGACGGACCCGAAAGGCAGCGGCGGCACCGUGUCCGGUCCUCGAGCGUAUGGGGCUUUGUCACCCGCUCGACUAGGGCCGGCCGGGCGCCAGCCGGCGUCUCCAACCAUUUUCUUCA